ACUGCUUUUUCUUUGAUGUCCCCUGAGUUUAGAGGAUAACCCGGUAACGUAAUCUUUGGUUCCCAGUUACCGGGCGUUUUUCUU
rnacentral:sRNA from 1 species